GGCCUGAUGCCAUGUCUCAGGUAGCUACGGCUUUGACCGGAGAUCCUACAUUGUGCCAUUAGAGAGAUGUUGGACGUUUCACAUUUGAUAGGAACCUGUGGACAUGAUUUAGUCGGUACACAGAACCGUUUUUUGUGAUUACACUG
rfam:Triticum aestivum genome assembly, contig: Triticum_aestivum_CS42_TGACv1_scaffold_544321_6DS